rnacentral:rRNA from 1 species
GAUGAACGCUGGCGGCGUGCCUAAUACAUGCAAGUCGAGCGAAUGGAUUGAGAGCUUGCUCUUAUGAAGUUAGCGGCGGACGGGUGAGUAACACGUGGGUAACCUGCCCAUAAGACUGGGAUAACUCCGGGAAACCGGGGCUAAUACCGGAUAACAUUUUGAACCGCAUGGUUCGAAAUUGAAAGGCGGCUUCGGCUGUCACUUAUGGAUGGACCCGCGUCGCAUUAGCUAGUUGGUGAGGUAACGGCUCACCAAGGCAACGAUGCGUAGCCGACCUGAGAGGGUGAUCGGCCACACGGGGACUGAGACACGGCCCAGACUACUACGGGAGGCAGCAGUAGGGAAUCUUCCGCAAGGGACGAAAGUCUGACGGAGCAACGCCGCGUGAGUGAUGAAGGCUUUCGGGUCGUAAAACUCUGUUGUUAGGGAAGAACAAGUGCUAGUUGAAUAAGCUGGCACCUUGACGGUACCUAACCAGAAAGCCACGGCUAACUACGUGCCAGCCGCCGCGGUAA